ACCGUGAAUCUUAAAACAUGGACAAAGGGAUCCUGAUGAAAGGACACCCCUUUCUCCUAAACCUAAUAGCGGAUCAUUGGCCCCACCAUUGGUAACAACAAUAAGAAAUGAUGAUGAAGAUGAUUGGCUGGAUCCUGAGGAUCAACAGAAAUUAGAGGAUGAGGAGGAAAGAUAUGAGAAAGAAAGAGAGGAAAGGGGAGAUGGACCAUUUAAUGCAUCCAAUUUUGGAGCUACAGGGUAUACACCCUCUUUAACAGAAGGUCAAAGACACCUGAUAAGAAAAACUGGAAAUAUCAGUGAUUUUAUCAGACAGUGCGCUGACAUUGGACCUGCAUAUGUGCAGGGCGUUACUAUGGCAGCCACACUCAAGGGUG
rnacentral:lncRNA from 1 species